rnacentral:rRNA from 1 species
UACGUAGGGCGCAAGCGUUGUCCGGAAUUAUUGGGCGUAAAGAGCUCGUAGGCGGCUUGUCACGUCGGGUGUGAAAGCCCGGGGCUUAACCCCGGGUCUGCAUCCGAUACGGGCAGGCGUAGAGUGUGGUAGGGGAGAUCGGAAUUCCUGGUGUAGCGGUGAAAUGCGCAGAUAUCAGGAGGAACACCAGUGGCGAAGGCGGAACUCUGGGCCGGAACUGACGCUGGAGGUGCGAAAGCGUGGGGAGCAAACAGG